rnacentral:rRNA from 1 species
UUUUUAUAGAAAUUAUUAUAAGUAAAAUCUGCUCAAUGAAAUAUUAAAUAGCCGCAAAUUAAUAUUGUGCUAAGGUAGCAUAAUCAUUUGUCUUUUAAUUAAAGACUAGAAUGAAAGAUUUAACGAAUUAAUAAAUGUUUAAUAAUUAUAAAAUAAAACUAAUUAUGAAGUAAAAAAGCUUCAAUUUUAAAAUUAGACAACAAGACCCUAUCGAACUUUACUAAAGUUAAGCUGGGGCAGCUAAAAUAUAAUAACUAUAUACUAUUUAUUUAACAUAAACUUUUACCAAUAAAUUUGAUACUAACAAGUUACCGUAGGGAUAACAGCAUAAUUAAAUUUCAAAGCUCAUAUUUAAAUUUUAGAUUAUGACCUCGAUGUUGAAUAACUUAACUUUUUGAUGCAAAAAUUUAAAUAGUUAGUCUGUUCGACUAUUAAAAAGUUACA